UGUAGCGGUGAAAUGCGUAGAUAUCUGGAGGAAUACCGAUGGCGAAGGCAGCCUUCUGGCCUAACACUGACGCUGAGGUGCGAAAGCAUGGGGAGCAAACAGGAUUAGAUACCCUGGUAGUCCAUGCCGUAAACGAUGUCUACUAGCCGUUGGGGGACUUGAUCCUUUAGUGGCGCAGCUAACGCAUUAAGUAGACCGCCUGGGGAGUACGGUCGCAAGACUAAAACUCAAAUGAAUUGACGGGGGCCCGCACAAGCGGUGGAGCAUGUGGUUUAAUUCGAUGCAACGCGAAGAACCUUACCUGGCCUUGACAUGUCUGGAACCCUGUAGAGAUACGGGAGUGCCUUCGGGAAUCAGAACACAGGUGCUGCAUGGCUGUCGUCAGCUCGUGUCGUGAGAUGUUGGGUUAAGUCCCGCAACGAGCGCAACCCUUGUCCUUAGUUGCCAGCACGUAAUGGUGGGAACUCUAGGGAGACUGCCGGUGACAAACCGGAGGAAGGCGGGGACGACGUCAAGUCAUCAUGGCCCUUACGGCCAGGGCUACACACGUGCUACAAUGGUCGGUACAAAGGGUUGCCAACUCGCGAGAGUGCGCUAAUCCCAAAAAGCCGAUCGUAGUCCGGAUUGGAGUCUGCAACUCGACUCCAUGAAGUCGGAAUCGCUAGUAAUCGCGGAUCAGAAUGCCGCGGUGAAUACGUUCCCGGGCCUUGUACACACCGCCCGUCACACCAUGGGAGUUUGUUGCACCAGAAGUAGGUAGCUUAACCGCAAGGAGGGCGCUUACCACGGUGUGGCCAAUGACUGGGGUGAAGUCGUAACAAGGUAACC
rnacentral:rRNA from 1 species